GUAGGGAAUAUUGGGCAAUGGAAGGAAUUCUGACCCAGCCAUGCCGCGUGCAGGAAUACAGUCCUAUGGACUUUAAACUGCUUUUAUUAUAGAGUAACCUGGGGGACGUGUCCCCCACUGCAAGUAUAUAAUGAAUAAGCAUCGGCUAACUCCGUGCCAGCAGCCGCGGUAAUACGGGGGAUGCAAGCGUUAUCCGGAUUUAUUGGGUUUAAAGGGUGCGCAGGCUGAUCGGUAAGUCAUGGGUGAAAAGUCACUGCUUAACAGUGAUCGUGCCUAUGAUACUGCCGGACUAGAGUUUAAGAGGUGUAACUGGAAUGUGAUGUGUAGCGGUGAAAUGCUUAGAUAUGUCACAGAACGCCAAUCGUGAAGACAGGUUACAAACUUAAUACUGACGCUCAUGCACGAAAGCGUGGGGAUCAAACAGGAUUAGAUACCCGUGUAGUCC
rnacentral:rRNA from 1 species